AGCUCCAAUAGCGUAUAUUAAUUUUGUUGUAGUUAAAAAGCUCGUAGUUGGAUUUCUGGUGUGAAGUACCUGACCCGAAGCCUUUCUUAGCGCUCUCGAGUGUCGGUGUGUUUCCGCCAUCCUUCUAGAAAACGCGUCUACUCUUCACUGAGCCGGGCGCGCGAUCUGGAUCUUUUACUUUGAAAAAAUUAGAGUGUUUAAAGCAGGCAAUUUGCUAUGAAUACAUUAGCAUGGAAUAAUAAGAUAGGACUUUGGUUUUAUUUUGUUGGUUUCCUAGAACUGAAGUAAUGAUUGAUAGGGACAGUUGGGGGUGCUAGUAUUCAACGGCCAGAGGUGAAAUUCUUGGAUUCGUUGAAGACUAACUAAUGCGAAAGCAUUCACCAAGGAUGUCUUCUUUAAU
rnacentral:rRNA from 1 species